rnacentral:rRNA from 1 species
UACGGGGGGGCAAGCGUUUGUUCGGAAUUACUGGGCGUAAAGGGCUCGUAGGUGGCCAACUAAGUCAGACGUGAAAUCCCUCGGCUUAACCGGGGAACUGCGUCUGAUACUGGAUGGCUUGAGUUUGGGAGAGGGACGCGGAAUUCCAGGUGUAGCGGUGAAAUGCGUAGAUAUCUGGAGGAACACCGGUGGCGAAGGCGGCGUCCUGGACCAACACUGACGCUCAUGCACGAAAGCGUGGGGAGCAAACAGG